rnacentral:rRNA from 1 species
UCCAGACUCCUACGGGAGGCAGCAGUGGGGGAUAUUGCACAAUGGGGGAAACCCUGAUGCAGCGACGCCGCGUGAGGGAAGAAGGUUUUCGGAUUGUAAACCUCUGUCUUCGGUGACGAAACGAGACGGUAGCCGAGGAGGAAGCCACGGCUAACUACGUGCCAGCAGCCGCGGUAAUACGUAGGUGGCAAGCGUUGUCCGGAAUUACUGGGUGUAAAGGGCGUGUAGGCGGGGAAGCAAGUCAGAUGUGAAAACCACGGGCUCAACCUGUGGCCUGCAUUUGAAACUGUUUUUCUUGAGUACUGGAGAGGCAGACGGAAUUCCUAGUGUAGCGGUGAAAUGCGUAGAUAUUAGGAGGAACACCAGUGGCGAAGGCGGUCUGCUGGACAGCAACUGACGCUGAGGCGCGAAAGCGUGGGGAGCAAACAGGAUUAGAUACCCCGGUA